rnacentral:rRNA from 1 species
UGCAAGUCGAGCGGGGGAAGGUAGCUUGCUACUGGACCUAGCGGCGGACGGGUGAGUAAUGCUUAGGAAUCUGCCUAUUAGUGGGGGACAACAUCUCGAAAGGGAUGCUAAUACCGCAUACGUCCUACGGGAGAAAGCAGGGGAUCUUCGGACCUUGCGCUAAUAGAUGAGCCUAAGUCGGAUUAGCUAGUUGGUGGGGUAAAGGCCUACCAAGGCGACGAUCUGUAGCGGGUCUGAGAGGAUGAUCCGCCACACUGGGACUGAGACACGGCCCAGACUCCUACGGGAGGCAGCAGUGGGGAAUAUUGGACAAUGGGCGCAAGCCUGAUCCAGCCAUGCCGCGUGUGUGAAGAAGGCCUUAUGGUUGUAAAGCACUUUAAGCGAGGAGGAGGCUACUUUAGAUAAUACCUAGAGAUAGUGGACGUUACUCGCAGAAUAAGCACCGGCUAACUCUGUGCCAGCAGCCGCGGUAAU